AUUGAACGCUGGCGGCAGGCCUAACACAUGCAAGUCGAGCGGAGCGGCGGACGGGGGAGUAAUGCCUAGGAAUCGGCCAGGUAGUGGGGGAUAACGUCCGGAAACGGGCGCGAAUACCACAUACUAUCAGAGAAGCCUAGGUCGGAUUAGCUAGUUGUUGGGGUAAAGGCCUACCAAGGCGACGAUCCGUAACUGGUCUGAGAGGAUGAUCAGUCACACUGGAACUUAGACACGGUCCAGACUCCUACGGGAGGCAGCAGUGGGGAAUAUUGGACAAUGGGCGAAAGUCUGAUCCAGCCAUGCCGCGUGUGUGAAGAAGGUCUUCGGAUUGUAAAGCACUUUAAGUUGGGAGGCGUUACCAACAGAAUAAGCACCGGCUAACUUCGUGCCAGCAGCCGCGGUAAUAC
rnacentral:rRNA from 1 species